GAGAAGCAACUUGUUGGGGGUGAGGGUGGCAGAGCCUGGCCCAGGCUGCCCAGGGAGGUUGUGGAGUCUCCUUCUGUGCAGACAUUCCAACCCGCCUGGACACCUUCCUGUGUAACCUCAUCUGGGUGUUCCUGCUCCAUGGGGGGGAUUGGACUAGAUGAUCUUUUGAGGUCCUUUCCAAUCCCAAACAUACUGUGAUACUGUGAAAUUUACCCCAAAGCUGGCUGGCCUUUCUUUCUCUUACUUUUACCUUGCUUAUUUUCUCCAGCAAGCCCAACUUUUAGCCGCUGAAAUAUGUGUUAUUUGGAAGAAAUGUAAGUGAAAGUCAUUUUAUUAGAUCCUAAUCUUGUUACGUGUAGUUGCUCAUUUUUCUCCCUCCUGCAGCUAUGGGAGGUGAUUGCCUAUCCAGUUAUCUGUCCUGUUCAGUAUUUCCGCAGCAUUUUCUUCUCUGUUUGAAAUAUUCAGGUUUGUGAUGACUCAGGAAGGUGACGAUGAGGAAGCCAUACCCACGUGUUUCUUUACAUGUGCAACAGCACAUCUGAUAUUACGUGACUUUAGGUAUUUUAAGGUGAAUGCUGGAACCAAAUACGUCUUUUUCAAGGGUUUAUGAGGUGAUAGUGUGUUUAUUCAUAACAGGAAUUUGUGCUACACCACAUUUAGCAAUAUCUGUAAAUGCUGUUGAUCCGUAUUUUAUCCUGUGCUGGUGGGAAGGAUAAUGGCCUUAGCGGUCAUGACAUUGUCAAAGCUAAAUAAUGAAUUUCAGUGCCUUUUUUUGUACAUUUUCAGCAAAUUACUGCUGAACACCUGCCAAAGGGAAUACUUUUCGCAUUUUUGCUGCUUCACUGCUGUGCGUGUGUAAUUUGGCAAGCGUAACAAGUUCUCCGGUGACCUGCACUAAAAUGUUAAUGGUAGGAUGGGAUCUGAGUGGCGAACUGGGACCAGUAACUGGAGCUGGAGUUUUAUUCCUGGCUUGGUCACCUGUAUGAAUAUGAACCUGCCCUGCUGAUUAUUCGGCUCUAGAUCAAAUGGUGCUCAUGAUCCAAAGGUGGUGUCACAACGAGACGGUGUGAGAUGCACUAAAUAAGCUUUCUGGGUUAAUUUUCUCCCUGACACACGUAUUACACUGUGCUUUACAAAUGUACUGUUGUAUUCUGAUUUUUCCAAGUGGGCAGAAGAUAAACAUUACUGAGUUCUGUAAGGAUGCAGACAACCCUAGAUUGAUGCUCCCGUGCCCUGGAGAGCCAACAUGGGACCUGCGCUACCUAUUUUUCCCCUUCUUCCAACAGAGAUUGCUUUCCAGCCCAAAUUAAAAUGGGCUGGUGGAAGAGUGAGAUGCGCUUUAUAGUUCCCUCAGCUGUGCUGUGUUUGCCUCAUUGAUAUUGUAAACUGAGAUCCGCUGCCUUUCAACAGCGCUAAAUUAAUUUGAAAGAAAAGUAAUUUUCUAGUAACGUGGUGGGUGCAGUAGGCAUGCAAACAAAAAAGAGCCAGGUUGAAUUUUCACGCUUUUAUGGAUGGAUGUGGGUUUUCUGUGACUGUUUCGCUAGUGCUGUGCUGAGCAGAGACUGUUUGCUCUCUCUGCAAUGUUUUGCAGCUCCUAAUGUGCUCUGGGUCGUGGUGACUCCUCGUGGCCCAUCGGUUUGCAAAGCCAAGCUCUCAAAAGCUGGAACUGGCAGAGCUGGGGGCGUUUGUGCCGCUUUCAUUUGGUCACCCCCUGUCUGGGCCUUGGAUUAUAGAGUUACGUGUUUUAUUUCUCUUUCUGCAAGAACUUGGCCUGGUUUGUCUUCAAAGAUAGAUCACGCACUCCUCUGAAAACUCUAAAAUUAGUGAGAAGGACCUUUGUUCCUUUGAUAUUUAACAAACAGGAGUCACCUUUUCUGAGAUGUGGUUCAGUGUGUGGGUUAAGGCAGCUCAGUUCGGGUGUUUCCCUGUGAACCGGGCGCUUCAGGCCAGUGGAGAUGUGGGCAGUGGAGCCCCGAGAGGGAUCCGGCUCCUAGGAUCAUAGCAUGAUCUCAGUUGGAAGAGACCCUCAGAAUCAUCGAGUCUGACCAUAACCUAACUCUAGCACCAAACCAUAUCCCUAAGAAUCAUUGAGUCCAACCAUAACCCACCCCUGGCACUGCCCCACGUCCUGAGAACCUCAUCUAUGUGUAUUUUAAACCCCUCCAGGGAUGGUGACUCCACCACUGCCUUGGGCAGCCUGUUCCAAUGCCCCACAGCCCAUUCCAGGAAGAAUUUUUUCCUAAUAUCCAAUCUAAACCUCCCCUGGUGCAACUUGAGGCUGAUUCCUCUUGUCCUGUCACUUGCUACUUGGGAGAAUAGACCAACACCCUCAUGCUGAAGCAGGAACCGAUGCUGGGGUUGGCUCCUGACCAGGCACAGGAGACGAGAACGUCAGUUCAGUGUAGGUGUUUGUAUCCAGGAGCUGCACUGAGAGUCUUGGCUCCAAUUCAGGCUCAGGCCAGAAGUAUUUUCUUCUUCAUCUCUGACUUCCAAGUAGCAAGAGAUAGGACAAGAAUGGCCUCAAGUUGCGCCAGGGGAGGUUGAGGUUGGAUUUGGGGAACAAUUUCUUCCCCAAAGGGCUGUGGGGCAUUGGAACAGGCUGCCCAGGGCAGUGCUGGAGUCACCAGCCCUGGAGGGUUGGACAGAUGGACAUGAGGUUCUCAGGGACAUGGGGCAGGGACAGGGGUGGGGGAACGGUUGGACUCCAUGGUCUUGAGGGUCUCUUCCAACCAAAUGAUUCUGUGAUUUCUGACUCCUUGAGCUUGUGCUGGUUUUUGCUGCAUUGUCACUUUUUCCAAGAUACUCCAGUUUCUUCCAGCGUUGGUUCUUGUUCCCAUUCUCCUUUCCGGGUCUUUGCUUCACCCCACCUCUAGGAAGACACAAGUGGUCACUCACCUUUGGUCGUACUCUUCUGUAUCCUCUCUGGUGUAUUCGUCUUGUCAAAAGCCAAGUUGGGCCAUUUGUGGGGGUCGUAGCCAUGAUAGGAAACACUUGGCUUCAAUACUUGGCAGGAACUUGCUCCUUGGGACCAACUGGAGCUGCGAGGGAUCAAGGCAGUUUUAAGCUACUGUAGCAGCUAAAAGCUGAAAGACUUUUCCAAAGCCCGGUCACUGUUAAAAGUUAAAUAGCUGUUGGCACCUUACACUGUGGUGGAGCUGCAAUGGACGGCACAUGGAGCAAGAGAAAUGGCACCGUCAGUUCGUGUCAUCUGCAAAAAGCUUCUUCCUGAGCGCGUGGUUUUACAAGCACGGAGAAAACAGGCGCAUGUAUGUUUGUGUAGAACUUUUUUAGAGAUUAUAUUGCAGCUUUAUGGAUGAGGGAGUUGCUUUGGUGAGAGAAGAAGAUGAGCUAAACCGCAGCUUUUCGCUGGCAGUUUUGGCUGAUGACUGCUUUUUAUUAGCUCGGUUUAUAAUUUUAUUGACACAAUUUCUUUGUUUCCUCAAAGCAGCAAUCAAGCUGUUCUUCCUUCCUCAAGCUAAAUGUUUAUACCGGAGUGUCAGAUGGGGACAAGAUGAAUCCUGUUGAUGUAGGUGCGGAAACUACAAAGCCAGGUCUUUACUGGACACUGUCUUUAUUCAACAAUAACUUCCAGGGCGGUUUCCCUGAACUAAAUAGUGCAGCAAAGAUGUGAGAAUCCAAGGGCAAAUCUUGGGCAUCUCCUGGUGGAAGUUGGAUAACAGCCUUUGUUUCGGUGUCGCCGCCGUGACGUGGUUUGUUGUGCAUGGGAUGUGUUAUCUGCCUCCUUGCACUUGGAUGAGAAGAGAAAGGGACGUAGAAGAAAACCUGUCCUGUGGGAACAGCCGAUAUCGAUUGCCUGGUUCAGCUGGAAUUUAACUAAAGGUCAAAUAAAAUUGUGCUGGAAUCCACAGAAGGGAUGGCUGAAAUGGGACUAAGAGCUACUUCUUUUUAGAUUUUUAUAUUGCUUGGUGAAAAGACACCGGAAAAUUGACCAAAAUGAAAUAUUAAGCAAACGCAGCCUGCAGCUUGCUGCUUUUCUCCCCUUGAAAUACUGGGCGGGUUGAGCCACAACGCUGCACAGAAUUGAUGCUUAAAGCAACGUGCAGGACUCUGUAUUUAGUGUUUAUCCUGAAUUACUGGACAGAAAUCCCCAAAUUGUUACUGAGAAAUGCGUUUGAUUCUUUCUGAAACUUUAUAGCUUAAAGUGUCUCCAAUUUUCUCUCACUGUGCUGAGCGUAUUUUGUUUCCAAGCUUUUCUUUUGCACCAUAGGCUGACAAACGGCUUUGAAAAUAAUACAGUUUGGGGUUGAUAACCCUCAUGCGUGGGUUCUUUUCUUCACUUCAGAAGUGACCUGUGUGGUUUGGGUAGUACAUGAGGGCAUGUAAUUCCUUAUAAGCUAUUUUAUUUUCUUAAAAGGAGAGGAGCUGGGUUUGGCAUGGGAAUCUUACCCUAUUUUUAUAGCGAACCCACAACCUCGUAGCACCUUCAACCAACCCAUCAUUCCAUCUGCGUGCGGCUCAUCCAUCCGCUUGUCUUGGCUGCUGGAAACUCAAGCUGGUGGUGCCUUGGACUGGCUGCAUCUUCCACACAUAAGAUAGAUUGGUUUAGUGUUAGUAUUUUUUUCUGGCAUCAUAUAUUAGUCUGCAAUUUCUGGUGUCUGGCUCGUGGUGAAGGCAAGAGUGUACACUCCGCAUCUAAUAGGUUGAGUAUGGGCUUAAGACGUGGACAUCUUACAAGCACCCCAUGUUUUUUCUUUAUUUAGACAUCUUGGAAAAAGUUGCAUUUUGCUGCUUUGUUGGACCUCAGUUCUCUUUAUUAGGAUAAGAGGUUUGGGUUUCUUUACCUGCUAAAAUCCCGAACCACCUCCCUCUUUAUGGACAGUGAGUAUAGAGAGAUUCUUUUUUCCAUAGGACGCGUUUUCAUCUUAGGGCAGAUGAACUCCUUUCCUCUAGCUGCUUGAAACGGGAUAAUAUUUCAGCAAAACGUCUAAGUUGUAGUUUUCUUUUAACCAUUUGACAUAUAUAUGUAACUUUACCCGGAUUUCCAACAAUAAGGUCCUUCUCCAAAGCUUUUUCAAAGAUUGUGGGAAUAAGAGCAAAGACUUUACAUGCAUAAAUAAUUGAAAUAAAUUAGGAGAGGGAAUAAAUUAUCAACUUAAUACAACAGAAAACAGGUGUCCCAGAGGCGUCUGUGCUGGAAUAGGUGGUCUUGACCAUGCGGUUGUGCGUGGUGAAGGGGCAGGUGAAAAUCAACGUAGAUACAGAGUGAUGUGGAUAAGAAAGAUUUGUCCUUAUUUUCCUACAGGACUGUGAUCUCCAAGUUGGCUGAUGCUGCUCAGGAACAAGAUUUUCAAGUUACAGUAGAUAACUGUGAGAAACACAGACUCGAUGCUUGGUGUUAGUUAAAAGACCCAACUCAGUGUGAGGGGUUAUAAUGAGGGAAAUAGGGAGCAAACUGGCAAAUAUUGCUAUGCUGCCAUGUAAUUCAGCAGUGCCUUCACAGCUUGAACCUCUGUUCAGUUCUUCCUUUUAAAAAUAAGUGAGGGAAGAAGGAAAAUUGAACUGUGGAACCAGAGAAAAGUAUUUGAGGGUGAUAUAACAGAGAUUUAUGAAAUUCUGAGCAACAUGGAGAAGACAGAAGAAGGAUAAACGUUGUUUGUUUUCUAAAGCACAAGAAUUGGAGCUGUCAGAUAAAAUGGGGAUUAAACAUGAAGGAGGCGUUUC